UUUCACUUGUCUUCACUGCAGCAUGACUAAUAGAAACUUUCAGCUUUGCGUGCAUAUAUAAGCCCCUACAUAAGAAGACUUUGACAUUCUGCCUCAACACACAGAACCCCGAGAUCCAAACGCAAGAUAGAAAAUAGUGGCAAAGAUGUUCGUGAAAGCUAUGGUUGUUUUGGCCCUGGUGGUCUGCAUGGUGCAAGCCAAGCCAAGCUAUUUGGAACUGAGGCGUCGCGUGGAGGCCUUGGAAGAGGCAGUCCGUCCCAAAAGGUUUACAAAAUGCAGUCGUGAUGUAGUAGGAGAGUGCAAGUCCCCUCUCAACUGCGAUUCGCGAAAAGGUUUUCAU